ACCUGCUUCCACAGAACGGGAUACUGGACCAUGAGUGAAGCAGGGAACUCCAAGAAAUGGCAAGCAGAGAGUAAGCUUCCACAGAGGUGACCUAGCCUCACAGUCUGAUGAGGGAGACGAGAACAGCCUUCGCAGCACAGGGACAGAGCUGAGCAAGAUGUCCCCUGGGUCCUCCCCAACCCAGGGUCAUUCAGGAUACCCCAGAGGGUAUGUCUGCGUUUGAGUUAGGUUGACAAAAGCUCCAAGACACAUCAGGCUUUCUGAACAAUGUGGUUUCAAGUCAAGGUUCCAGGAAACAUGCAUAAUUAAAAUGCCACAACCGACCUUCAGCAGCUGCACCUUGGCUACAGAAACUCACAGCAGCAAGCUUCAGUCUCCACUCUCUGCUGUACAUGUCACUGUCACCUGGUUUCCUAUGGUGCACGUUGUAAAUGCCACAGUGCAUUGUUUUUCAAAAUUGCAUUUUCUUAGGUCUUUGGAGAAUGCCCCAGUGCAAAGCCAGGGCCUUACCCUCGUCUGGUCAGUUGGAGCCCAAAUGUCCUCAGCACUGUUUACUGCCUGAGCUCUUGGGAUGGUGCAACUUGCAGAUUUGGUAUACUAUCCAGGUAAAUACUCUCUGCUCUGCAGCUGCAACUUCACAAAGGAGAGGGCGGAAGUCACCUCUGGUUCCCCAAUCAGAGGAGAAGAUCACUAUGAAAAUCGGGAAUAUUUUUUCUUAACUCUGGGUCUAUUAUGGAAGGUUGCUUAAUAUCUACCCAAUAGCAAUUUCCUUCUACUCAAUUCUUUCUGGCAAACCUCUUGCCUUUCCAAUAAACUGAAUUGUGUUCCUCUCUUUUUAA